GACGAAGGGGGCUAGCGUUGUUCGGAAUUACUGGGCGUAAAGCGAGUGUAGGUGGUUGUCCAAGUUGGAUGUGAAAGCCUUGGGCUCAACUCAAGAAAUGCAUUCAGGACUGGGCGGCUAGAGGACCGGAGAGGAUAGUGGAAUUCCCAGUGUAGUGGUGAAAUACGUAGAGAUUGGGAAGAACACCAGUGGCGAAGGCGGCUAUCUGGACGGUUUCUGACACUAAGACUCGAAAGCGUGGGGAGCAAACAGG
rnacentral:rRNA from 1 species